rnacentral:rRNA from 1 species
GACGUAGGGCGCGAGCGUUGUCCGGAUUUAUUGGGCGUAAAGAGCUCGUAGGCGGCUCGUUGCGUCGGCUGUGAAAACCCGCAGCUCAACUGUGGGCUUGCAGCUGAUACGGGCAGACUGGAGUUCGGCAGGGGAGACUGGAAUUCCUGGUGUAGCGGUGAAAUGCGCAGAUAUCAGGAGGAACACCGGUGGCGAAGGCGGGUCUCUGGGCCGAUACUGACGCUGAGGAGCGAAAGCGUGGGGAGCGAACAGG